rnacentral:rRNA from 1 species
ACUUUGGGACUAUACUUUGCCUAUGUUCCUUGGAACAGGACGUCAUGGAGGGUGAGAAUCCCGUGUGGCGAGGGUGUUAGUUCUUUGUAAAGGGUGCUCGAAGAGUCGAGUUGUUUGGGAAUGCAGCUCUAAGUGGGUGGUAAAUUCCAUCUAAAGCUAAAUACAGGCGAGAGACCGAUAGCGAACAAGUACAGUGAUGGAAAGAUGAAAAGAACUUUGAAAAGAGAGUGAAAAAGUACGUGAAAUUGUUGAAAGGGAAGGGCAUUUGAUCAGACAUGGUGUUUUGCGCCCCUCGCUCCUUGUGGGUGGGGGACUCUCGCAGCUCACUGGGCCAGCAUCAGUUUUUGCGGCAGGACAAAACCUUGGGAAUGUAGCUGUGCGCCUCGGUGUACAGUGUUAUAGCUCUUGGGAAUACUGCCAGCGGGGACUGAGGACUGCGAUACUUGUUAUCUAGGAUGCUGGCAUAAUGGUUAUAUGCCGCCCGUCUUGAA